ACAACGGCGGAGGCCGCGGGGUUCCCUGACGUGCCAGUCAGGCCUUCUCCCUUUCCGCAAACCGUGUGUUUCUUUACCGCUCUCCCUCGAGACCUUUUAAGGGUUGUUUGGGGUACGGAGUCUCACUUUGUCACCCAGGCUGGAGUGCAGUGGCAGGAUCUCAGCUGACUGCAACCUCCGCCUCACAGGUUCAAGGGAGCUUCUCCUGCCUCAGCCUCCGGAGUAGCUAGGACUAUAGUUUAGAUGCAAAAUCCACGAGUAUUCAAGUGAUUGUUAAAGAGGGAGGCCUGAAAUUGAUUCAGAUCCAAGACAACGGCACUGGGAUCAGGAAAGAAGAUCUGGAUAUUGUAUGUGAAAGGUUCACUACUAGUAAACUGCAGUCCUUUGAGGAUUUAGCCAGUAUUUCUACCUAUGGCUUUCGAGGUGAGG
rnacentral:sRNA from 1 species